rnacentral:lncRNA from 1 species
CUGGGACGGAGACUCCAAGCUGGACCCGGCGCCGAGGCGCGCGGCGAGGAAGCCUUCUCACCUUUACGGUCUCCUAGCAGGAGCGAACCCCGGCGGCGCCGCCAACUUCGCGGGGACCGGCCACGCUCCACCCCGCGCCCAGCUGUCAGGACCCCCGCCGCGCCCUGCGCGCCCCACCCGGCCUCCCCCGCAGGUGGCCGCCCCCGCCGCGGGCAGCCACCGGCCGCCACUCACCUCGCCCGCAGCGGGAACCAUUUUUCCGAGAGAAGAAUCAAGGAAGGAUAGGCGGGUGGGUCCGGGGGUGGCGGCGAGGGGUCGCGGGACGUACCCGCAGCCGGCUCGCAGGGAUCGGGGCGCCACGCGGAGGUGCGACUGCACCUCUGGAAGGAGGCGGCGGUGGAGCCCAGAGACUCGGCGUCCACCAGCCGGGGCUCCCUACUCACGCUGCACCGCGAGGAGGCGGCGGCGGUGGAGGAGGAGGCGGCGCCCGGCCGGCCCCCGCCCAGAGCCCGGCGGCCGC